UAGAAAAGUUAAUUUCAAUUUUACAUGACCCACUGUGCGUGUCAGUUUCCAGUUCAUCCAACUUGUGUCUUUUACUUCUCCAACAGAUCAGGUACUCCAUGUGGGGAUGCCAUCUGAAUAGAAAUUAAAUGAUCUAUUCUCCCACAAGUGCCUGAGGAAUUGCAGAGGUAACUUUCAUUAACCUUGAUGGAUCUUAGACAUAUAAAGCCUGUGAAUGUCAAUGGGAGACUAGACUCCAUUGAGCUUCUCCUAUGUUCUUUAAUAGUGCAUAUUUAACCAAAGAAUGACAAUAAAACAUUUAUCAUCGGAGAUUUAAACAGCAGUAUUCUAAAGUUUUGGAAUCAACAAAUGAAUCAUUUAAAAAUGUCAAAGAUGGAUGAAGCCGGAAGCCAUCAUUCUCAGCAAGCUAACACAGGAACAGAAAACCAAACACCGGCUGGAUACAGUGGCUCAUACCUGUAAUCCCAGCACUUUGGGAGGCCAAGAAAGACUAGAGCAGUUCGAUGGAGAUGCAGCAUGGUUCAGCAACUGGAUAAGAGCACAGACAUUGGAGCCAAACUGUCUGGAGCUGCAAUCCCAGCCCAAUUACUUUCUAGCUAAAAGAACUUAAGCAAGUUACUUAAUCAUUCAGUGCUGCAGGAUACUGACCUAUAAAAUGGAGACGUUAACAAUGAUUCAUGACUCAUAUGGUUGUUUUGAAGAUUAAAUAAGUUAGUAGUUAUAAGGUAACCAGAGAGGUACCUGGCAUACAGUAAACUCCACAGUAGUAUUUAUAAUAAAUAAAUAUUAUCAGCAAACACUAAUACAAGCAGGAAAUUAUAAAUAACUUGGAUGACCAAAACGAUCUCUUUAUCAAGAAACAGCAGCAGUCAGAGCGGAGAAAGUCCAAGUUUUGCUGCUCUCACUUUCGUCCACUCAAUUCCUAUCUCUCUUUAGCCCAAAUUCAUUGAGACUCAGUUAUGCUCUAAAAGGGCUCUUUUUCUGGCCUUUCUCCAGUCAAGAAAAAAAAAAGCUUUUGUUGAUCUUAACCAAUUAUCUCUUCUAUUAACACCAAAAUUGCAAUUUCAGAAGGUUUGUAUAGACAAAUGUCUUACCAUGGUAUCAAUAGAAAAACCACUCAUGCUAAAAUUUCUGUAUCCUCUAACAAUAAGUAAGUUCCAUGUAUGUCUGACCAGUCUCAACAAGGAACUGAGCUCCUUGAGGCCAUGGGCGGUUAUCUAUCUACUUCUUUAAAAUGAACCAACAUGAAGAAAACAUAAAUAAAUGGAAAGACAGCCUGUGUUCAUGGACUGGAAAAAUUAAUAUUAUGAAAAUGUCUGUAUUAUUAAAGUGAUCUACAGAUUCUGUGCAAUCCCUGUCAAAAUUCUAAUGUCAUUUUUUUCACAGAUAUGAAAAAAAGCAAUGUUUACAUUUGUGUGUAAUCACAAAAGACCCCAAAUAGCCAAAAAUAAUCUUGAGCAAAAAGAACAAAGCUGGAGGUGUCAUAGGUCCUGAUUUCAAAACAUAUUAUAAAGAGAUUACAAUCAAAACAGCAUUGUACUAGAAUAUAAACAGAUAUAUAGACCAAUAGAACAGGAUAGAAAAGCCAUAAAUAAAUGCAUGCAUUAAUAGUACACAGAUUUUUGACAAAAGUGCCAAUAACACACAAUGGGGAAAGACAGUCUCUUCAAUAAAUAGUGUUGGGAAGCUGGGUAUCCACAUGCAGAGGAAUAAAAAUAACCCUUAUCUUGUACCGUAUUCAAAAAUUAACUCAAAAUGGACUAAAGAUCUGAAAUUGUAAAACUACUAAUAAGAAAAUAUAGGAGAAAAGCUUCACAACAUUGGGUUUUUGAAUAUGAUCUUUUCUUAAAAUUUAUUGUUUCAUUGACAAAAAUAAAAAGUAUAUACAUUUAUGAUGUACAACAUAUUUUGAUAUUAUGGAAUGGCUGAAUCAAGUACUUUAUAUAUGUGUUACCUCAUAUAUUUAACAUGGUUGUUUUUGAUGUUGAGAACAUUUAACGUCUGCUCUUAUCAAUAUAUUGUAUCUUUUCAAGUAUCAUAUAUUUAUUUUAAUUUUAAUUUUUGUGGGCACAUAGUAUAUGUAUAUAUUUAUGGGUUGCAUGAGCUAUUUUGAUACAGGCAUGCAAUUGCAUAAUAGUCAUAUCAGGGUAAAUGGAGGAUUCAUCACCUCAUGCGUUUCUUGUUUGUAUUAUAAAUGAUUCAAUUAUACUCUUAUUUUUAAAUGUACAAUUAAAUUAUUUUUGACUAGAGUCACCUGUUGUGCC
ensembl:lncRNA